UUAUUACUCCCUUCGUUCCAAAUUACUCGUCGCAGAAAUGGAUGUAUCUACAACUAAAAUACAUCUAAAUACAUCCAUACCUGCGACAAGUAAUUCGGAACGGAGGGAGUACUAU
rnacentral:pre_miRNA from 1 species